AAUGGGGGCAACCCUGAUCCAGCCAUGCCGCGUGAGUGAAGAAGGCCUUCGGGUUGUAAAGCUCUUUCGGCCGGGAAGAAAUCGCAUGGGUGAAUACCCUGUGUGGAUGACGGUACCGGAACAAGAAGCACCGGCUAACUACGUGCCAGCAGCCGCGGUAAUACGGAGGGNGCAAGCGUUAUCCGGAAUCACUGGGUUUAAAGGGUGCGUAGGCGGCUUAGUAAGUCAGUGGUGAAAGGCUGUGGCUUAACCAUGGAAUUGCCAUUGAUACUGCAGAGCUUGAAUGAGGCUGAGGUUGGCGGAAUGUGACAUGUAGCGGUGAAAUGCUUAGAUAUGUCAUGGAACACCGAUUGCGAAGGCAGCUGACUGGACCUAUAUUGACGCUGAGGCACGAAAGCGUGGGGAGCGAA
rnacentral:rRNA from 1 species